rnacentral:rRNA from 1 species
CCUACGGGCGGCAGCAGUGAGGAAUAUUGGUCAAUGGACGAGAGUCUGAACCAGCCAAGUAGCGUGAAGGAUGACUGCCCUAUGGGUUGUAAACUUCUUUUAUAUGGGAAUAAAAUGUUCCACGUGUGGGAUUUUGUAUGUACCAUAUGAAUAAGGAUCGUCUAACUCCGUGCCAGCCGCCGCGGUAAUACGGAGUAUCCGAGCGUUAUCCGGAUUUAUUGGGUUUAAAGGGAGCGUAGGUGGAUUGUUAAGUCAGUUGUGAAAGUUUGCGGCUCAACCGUAAAAUUGCAGUUGAAACUGGCAGUCUUGAGUACAGUAGAGGUGGGCGGAAUUCGUGGUGUAGCGGUGAAAUGCUUAGAUAUCACGAAGAACUCCGAUUGCGAAGGCAGCUCACUGGACUGCAACUGACACUGAGGCUCGAAAGUGUGGGUAUCAAACAGGAUUAGAUACCCGAGUAGUC